GCCACAGUAGCUCAGUGGUAGAGCACUCGAUUCGUAAUCGAGCGGUCGUCGGUUCAAUCCCGACCUGUGGCUCUA
rnacentral:tRNA from 1 species